GACUAAGCCAUGCAAGUUAAGCCUCCCUAGCUAUGUUGGGAGAGCAGCGAACGGCUCAGUAACACGUAGUUAAUCUGCCCUUGGGACGGAGAUAACUCCGGGAAACUGGAGCUAAUAACUGAUAGAUGGAAGUUCCUGGAAUGGUCUUCCACCAAAAAGUUCUAGGGAACAUGCUCUCAAGAACGCCCAAGGAUGAGACUGCGUCCGAUCAGGUUGUUGGUGGGGUAACGGCCCACCAAGCCGUUGACCGGUACGGGCCCUGAGAGGGGGAGCCCGGAGAUGGGAACUGAGAUAAGGUCCCAGGUCCUACGGGGCGCAGCAGGCGCGAAAACUCCACAAUGCGCGAAAGCGUGAUGGGGUUACCCCGAGUGCCGUCCGAUGAGGAGGGCUUUUACCCAGUGUAAGGAGCUGGGAGAAUAAAGGGGGGGAAAGACUGGUGUCAGCCGCCGCGGUAAUACCAGCCCCCUGAGUGAUAGGGACGAUUAUUUAGCCUAAAGCGUUCGUAGCCGGUCAAGCAAGUCUUUCGUUAAAUCCGACGACUUAAUUGUCAGACCGCGGGAGAUACUACUAGACUAGAGGGCGGGAGAGGUUGACGGUAUUCCUGGGGUAGGGGUGAAAUC
rnacentral:rRNA from 1 species